rnacentral:rRNA from 1 species
GACGAACGCUGGCGGCGUGCUUAACACAUGCAAGUCGAGCGAUGAAGCUUCCUUCGGGAAGUGGAUUAGCGGCGGACGGGUGAGUAACACGUGGGUAACCUGCCUCAAAGUGGGGGAUAGCCUCCCGAAAGGAAGAUUAAUACCGCAUAACAUAAGAGAAUCGCAUGAUUUUCUUAUCAAAGAUUUAUUGCUUUGAGAUGGACCCGCGGCGCAUUAGCUAGUUGGUAAGGUAACGGCUUACCAAGGCAACGAUGCGUAGCCGACCUGAGAGGGUGAUCGGCCACAUUGGAACUGAGACACGGUCCAGACUCCUACGGGAGGCAGCAGUGGGGAAUAUUGCGCAAUGGGGGAAACCCUGACGCAGCAACGCCGCGUGGGUGAUGAAGGUCUUCGGAUUGUAAAGCCCUGUUUUCUAGGACGAUAAUGACGGUACUAGAGGAGGAAGCCACGGCUAACUACGUGCCAGCCGCCGCGGUAAGAC